AGAGUUUGAUCUGGCUCAGAACGAACGCUGGCGGCAGGCUUAACACAUGCAAGUCGAACGCCCCGCAAGGGGAGUGGCAGACGGGUGAGUAACGCGUGGGAACCUACCCAGUGGUACGGAACAACCCAGGGAAACUUGGGCUAAUACCGUAUACGCCCCUAGGGGGAAAGAUUUAUCGCCAUUGGACGGGCCCGCGUUGGAUUAGCUAGUUGGUGGGGUAAUGGCCUACCAAGGCAACGAUCCAUAGCUGGUCUGAGAGGAUGAUCAGCCACACUGGGACUGAGACACGGCCCAGACUCCUACGGGAGGCAGCAGUGGGGAAUCUUGGACAAUGGGCGCAAGCCUGAUCCAGCCAUGCCGCGUGAGUGAAGAAGGCCUUAGGGUUGUAAAGCUCUUUCGGCGGGGACGAUAAUGACGGUACCCGCAGAAGAAGCCCCGGCUAACUCCGUGCCAGCAGCCGCGGUA
rnacentral:rRNA from 1 species